AUGAUGUGUCAACAACUAUACAACUAAUAGUCAAGCUGUGAAUUGCCAGGUGGCGCUUUUACAACAUGGAUAGGAUGUGUAAUUAACGCAAACUCCGCUAUCCGGAGCUGAUGACCCCAUGGGCGCGGCAAUGUAAGACGGGCCUACUCUCCAAGCAGAGCUGUCUACCCCAUCUUAACUGAAAAAGGAUCCGGACAGCCGAAGAGCCCUUCGUGAUUCGCACAACUCCGACAGUCUUCCUUUCCGAAGUCCUGGAGGGAACAACGGUUACAAAAGACACUUCUUGAAGAGACCUGAAGAGACUUUCCUGGAAACCAUCCUCAUUUCAUA